AAUUAUAAACAAAAUUAUAAACACAACACUUUUGUUUUUGCCCCCAUUUUUCAUGAGCUGAACUCAAAGAUCUAAGACUUUUUCUAUGUACACAAAAGGCCUGUGAGGUGGAUGGAUUAUCUUGGCACGGGAGAAGUGCUCACUAACACAGAUUUAGACAGAUUUGUGAACAAUAUUUGAGAGAGAGAGAGGCCUUUUGUGUACAUAGAAAAAGUCUUAGAUCUUUAAGUUCAGCACAUGAAAAAUGGGGGCGAAAACAAGUGUUGCAUUUAUAAUUUUGUUCAGUGUAAUU